rnacentral:rRNA from 1 species
CACGUAGGGGGCAAGCGUUGUCCGGAAUCAUUGGGCGUAAAGAGCUCGUAGGCGGCUCAGUAAGUCGGGUGUGAAACCCUCAGGCUCAACCUGGGGACGCCACCCGAUACUGCUGUGGCUAGAGUCCAGUAGGGGAGUGUGGAAUUCCCGGUGUAGCGGUGAAAUGCGUAGAUAUCAAGAGGAACACCCUGAGGUGAAGACGGGUUGCUGGGCUGACACUGACGCUGAGGCGCGAAAGCCAGGGGAGCAAACGGG